GAGUUUGAUCCUGGCUCAGGACGAACGCUGGCGGCGCGCCUAACACAUGCAAGUCGAACGAGCGAGAGAGAGCUUGCUUUCUCGAGCGAGUGGCGAACGGGUGAGUAACGCGUGAGGAACCUGCCUCAAAGAGGGGGACAACAGUUGGAAACGACUGCUAAUACCGCAUAAGCCCACAGCUCGGCAUCGAGCAGAGGGAAAAGGAGCAAUCCGCUUUGAGAUGGCCUCGCGUCCGAUUAGCUAGUUGGUGAGGUAACGGCCCACCAAGGCGACGAUCGGUAGCCGGACUGAGAGGUUGAACGGCCACAUUGGGACUGAGACACGGCCCAGACUCCUACGGGAGGCAGCAGUGGGGAAUAUUGCACAAUGGGGGAAACCCUGAUGCAGCGACGCCGCGUGGAGGAAGAAGGUCUUCGGAUUGUAAACUCCUGUUGUUGAGGAAGAUAAUGACGGUACUCAACAAGGAAGUGACGGCUAACUACGUGCCAGCAGCCGCGGUAAAACGUAGGUCACAAGCGUUGUCCGGAAUUACUGGGUGUAAAGGGAGCGCAGGCGGGAAGACAAGUUGGAAGUGAAAUCCAUGGGCUCAACCCAUGAACUGCUUUCAAAACUGUUUUUCUUGAGUAGUGCAGAGGUAGGCGGAAUUCCCGGUGUAGCGGUGGAAUGCGUAGAUAUCGGGAGGAACACCAGUGGCGAAGGCGGCCUACUGGGCACCAACUGACGCUGAGGCUCGAAAGUGUGGGUAGCAAACAGGAUUAGAUACCGUGGUAGUCCACACUGUAAACGAUGAUUACUAGGUGUUGGAGGAUUGACCCCUUCAGUGCCGCAGUUAACACAAUAAGUAAUCCACCUGGGGAGUACGACCGCAAGGUUGAAACUCAAAGGAAUUGACGGGGGCCCGCACAAGCAGUGGAGUAUGUGGUUUAAUUCGACGCAACGCGAAGAACCUUACCAAGUCUUGACAUCCUGCGACGCACAUAGAAAUAUGUGUUUCCUUCGGGACGCAGAGACAGGUGGUGCAUGGUUGUCGUCAGCUCGUGUCGUGAGAUGUUGGGUUAAGUCCCGCAACGAGCGCAACCCUUAUGGUCAGUUACUACGCAAGAGGACUCUGGCCAGACUGCCGUUGACAAAACGGAGGAAGGUGGGGAUGACGUCAAAUCAUCAUGCCCUUUAUGACUUGGGCUACACACGUACUACAAUGGCGUUAAACAAAGAGAAGCAAGACCGCGAGGUGGAGCAAAACUCAGAAACAACGUCCCAGUUCGGACUGCAGGCUGCAACUCGCCUGCACGAAGUCGGAAUUGCUAGUAAUCGCAGAUCAGCAUGCUGCGGUGAAUACGUUCCCGGGCCUUGUACACACCGCCCGUC
rnacentral:rRNA from 1 species